AGUUGUUCCAAGUGGGCUUAUCGUGGUAAGCAUGUUAAGCAAUGAGGGAUGAACCUAACGCUGAGAUAAGGCGCCCAAAUUCCCGCCCAUCAGAAACCAUAAAAGGUGUUGAUUCAUAUAGACAGCAGGACGGUGGCCAUGGAAGUCGGAAUCCGCUAAGGAGUGUGUAACAACUCACCUGCCGAAUGAAUUAGCCCUGAAAAUGGAUGGCGCUGAAGCGGGAUGCCGAUACUCAGCCAUCAAGGCAAUUAAAGAAGCUUUGAUGUGUAAGAGGGCGUGAGUGCGGUGCAGAAGCCUUUGGCGUGAGCCUAGGUUGAACCGCAUUUAGUGCAGAUCUUGGUGGUAGUAGCGAAUAUUCAAAUGAGAACUUUGAAGACCGACGUGGAGAAGGGUUCCAUGAGAACAGCAUUUGGUCAUGGGUUAUCCGAUCCUAAGGCAUAGGGAAGUUCCUUGUAAUACAAGAGCACUUCGCUCGUUGCCGAAAGGGAAUGAGGUUAAUAUUCCUCAGACUGGACGUGGAUAAUGUAUGGUAACAUAAGUGAGCCCGGAGACAUCGGUAUGAACUCCUGGAAGAGUUAUCUUUUCUUUUUAACAAUCUAUCGCCCUGAAAUUGGAUUAUCCUGAGCUAGGGCUUUAUGAUUGGCAGAGCAUUGCACUCUAUGUAAUGUCAGGUGCGUUCAUAACGAUCCUUGAAAAUCCGGGUAAGAGAUCUAUUUCACGCCAGAUCGCCAAUAACCGCAUCAGGUCUCCAAGGUUAGCAGCCUCUGGUCAAUAGGAUAAUGCAGAUAAGGGAAUUCGGCAAAUUAGAUCCGUAACUUCGGGAAAAGGAUUGGCUCUGAGGAUUGGAUUCAAGGGCCUGUUCAUGGACUCUUAGCUAGUUUGGAACUGCGAGGGCAACUUAGUGGCUCCAGAUCGGCGAACGCGGGAGUGAGCAGGACGCUUUCAUCGGCUUUCCUUGGAUGAAUAACAAUUAACUCAGAACUGAAGCGGACAAGGGGAAUCCGACUGUUUAAUAAAAACAUAGCAUUGUGAUGGCCUGAAAAGGUGUUGACACAAUGUGAUUUCUGCCCAGUGCUCUGAAUGUCAAAGUGAAGAAAUUCAACCAAGCGCGGGUAAACGGCGGGAGUAACUAUGACUCUCUUAAGGUAGCCAAAUGCCUCGUCAUCUAAUUAGUGACGCGCAUGAAUGGAUCAAUGAGAUUCCCACUGUCCCUAUCUGCUACCUAGCGAACCCACAGCCAAGGGAACGGGCUUGGAAAAAUCAGCGGGGAAAGAAGACCCUUUUUGAGCUUGACUCUAGUCCGACUUUGUGAAAUGACCCAUGAGGUAUAGCCUAAGUGGGAGCUAACGCGCACCUGUAAAACCACUACUCAUGUUUUGGCCAUUUUACUUAUUCCGUGAAGUAGAGAACACCUUACGGUGGUUCUAGAAUUAAGGUUGAGCCC
rnacentral:rRNA from 1 species